UAUGAGGUUGAUAGGUCCGAGGUGGAAGCGUGGUGACACGUGGAGCUGACGGAUACUAAUAGAUCGAGGACUUAACUAA
rnacentral:rRNA from 1 species